rnacentral:rRNA from 1 species
UGGCGGACGGGUGAGUAACGCGUGGGUAACCUGCCUCGAUACAGGGGGAUAACAGUUAGAAAUGACUGCUAACACCGCAUAAUAUAGCGAAACCGCAUGAUUUUGCUAUCAAAUAUUUAUAGGUAUGAGAUGGGCCCGCGUCUGAUUAGCUAGUUGGUGGGGUAAAAGCCUACCAAGGCGACGAUCAGUAGCCGGCUUGAGAGAGUGACCGGCCACAUUGGGACUGAGACACGGCCCAAACUCCUACGGGAGGCAGCAGUGGGGAAUAUUGGACAAUGGGGGAAACCCUGAUCCAGCGAACCGCCGCGUGAGUGAAGAAGUAUUUCGGUAUGUAAAGCUCUAUACAGCAGGGAAGAUAAUGACAGUACCUGACUAAGAAGCCCCGGCUAACUACGUGCCAGCAGCCGC